AACGUAGGUCACAAGCGUUGUCCGGAAUUACUGGGUGUAAAGGGAGCGUAGACGGAUUAGCAAGUCUGAUGUGAAAGGCAGGGGCUCAACCCCGGGACUGCUUUUGAAACUGCAGGGCUAGAGUGCAGGAGGGGCAAGUGGAAUUCCUAGUGUAGCGGUGAAAUGCGUAGAUAUUAGGAGGAACACCAGUGGCGAAGGCGGCUUGCUGGACUGUAACUGACACUGAGGCUCGAAAGCGUGGGGAGCAAACAGG
rnacentral:rRNA from 1 species